rfam:Triticum aestivum genome assembly, contig: Triticum_aestivum_CS42_TGACv1_scaffold_343302_4DL
AUACUACUCCCUCCGUCUCAAAACAUUUGUCGGAAAAAUGGAUAAAAAUAGAUGUAUCUACAACUAAAAUACAUCUAGAGACAUCCAUUUGUCCGGUAAAUAUUUCCAGACGGAGGGAGUACUAC